AGUCGGACGGGAUCUAGAUCUAAGCUUGCUUAGAUUUAGUGAGAGUGGCGCACGGGUGCGUAACGCGUGAGCAACCUACCCAUAUCAGGGGGAUAGCCCGGAGAAAUCCGGAUUAACACCGCAUGACACAACGACUCGGCAUCGAGAUGUUGUUAAAUAUUUAUAGGAUAUGGAUGGGCUCGCGUGACAUUAGCUAGUUGGUAAGGUAACGGCUUACCAAGGCUACGAUGUCUAGGGGCUCUGAGAGGAGAAUCCCCCACACUGGUACUGAGACACGGACCAGACUCCUACGGGAGGCAGCAGUAAGGAAUAUUGGUCAAUGGAGGGAACUCUGAACCAGCCAUGCCGCGUGCAGGAUGACUGCCCUAUGGGUUGUAAACUGCUUUUGUCCAGGAAUAACCACCACUACGUGUAGUGGCUUGAAUGUACUGGAAGAAUAAGGAUCGGCUAACUCCGUGCCAGCAGCCGCGGUAAUACGGAGGAUCCGAGCGUUAUCCGGAUUUAUUGGGUUUAAAGGGUGCGUAGGCGGCUCAUUAAGUCAGGGGUGAAAGACGGCAGCUCAACUGUCGCAGUGCCUUUGAUACUGAUGAGCUUGAAUGUGGUUGAAGAUGGCGGAAUGAGACAAGUAGCGGUGAAAUGCAUAGAUAUGUCUCAGAACUCCGAUUGCGAAGGCAGCUGUCUAAGUCAUUAUUGACGCUGAUGCACGAAAGCGUGGGGAUCGAACAGGAUUAGAUACCCUGGUAGUCCACGCCCUAAACGAUGAUAACUCGAUGUUGGCGAUACACAGUCAGCGUCUUAGCGAAAGCGUUAAGUUAUCCACCUGGGGAGUACGCCCGCAAGGGUGAAACUCAAAGGAAUUGACGGGGGCCCGCACAAGCGGAGGAGCAUGUGGUUUAAUUCGAUGAUACGCGAGGAACCUUACCCGGGCUUGAAAGUUACUGAAUUAUCUAGAGAUAGAUAAGUCCUUCGGGACAGGAAACUAGGUGCUGCAUGGCUGUCGUCAGCUCGUGCCGUGAGGUGUUGGGUUAAGUCCCGCAACGAGCGCAACCCCUAUGUUUAGUUGCCAGCAUGUAAUGAUGGGGACUCUAAACAGACUGCCAGCGUAAGCUGUGAGGAAGGUGGGGACGACGUCAAGUCAUCAUGGCCCUUACGUCCGGGGCUACACACGUGCUACAAUGGAUGGUACAGCGGGCAGCUACCUGGUAACAGGAUGCUAAUCUCGAAAAGCCAUUCACAGUUCGGAUUGAGGUCUGCAACUCGACCUCAUGAAGUUGGAUUCGCUAGUAAUCGCGUAUCAGCAAUGACGCGGUGAAUACGUUCCCGGGCCUUGUACACACCGCCCGUCAAGCCAUGAAAGUUGGGG
rnacentral:rRNA from 1 species